GUACAACGACGACCACGCCACGGGGACCGGGCACGGCUUCGGCGGCGGCGUGUCCCUGACGCUCGGGCUGCAGCAGCACGCCGGCGACGACCCGCACGGUGGCGUGAACGUCGCGUUCGCGGCGGCCCCGUCCGCGGCGCACGAGUUCCUGUUCAUGGCGGGCGGCGAGCAUCAGCAGCAGAUGGUCGCGGCUGGCAGCGUCCACGGUCACCAUCAGGGCCAGUUCGGCGCCGGAAUGGAAGGCGACGCCGCCUCGCACUACCACCGGGGCCUCAGCGCCGCCACUGGAUUCCAGCUCCUCCACGACCUGGCUGGCUGAACGCGUUGGCAUCACGGGGGACGGACGGACGGACCGGCGCGAUCAUCAGAGCGGAGUGCUUUAAUUUGCUUUGGAGGUUCAUGCGAUGUUUGAC
rnacentral:lncRNA from 1 species